rnacentral:rRNA from 1 species
UACAGAGGGUGCGAGCGUUGUUCGGAAUUAUUGGGCGUAAAGGGCGCGUAGGCGGUGCGGUAAGUCACCUGUGAAAUCUCCUGGCUCAACUGGGAGCUUGCAGGCGAAACUGCCGUGCUGGAGUGUGGGAGAGGUGCGUGGAAUUCCUGGUGUAGCGGUGAAAUGCGUAGAUAUCAGGAGGAACACCUGUGGCGAAAGCGGGUCUCUGGGCCGAUACUGACGCUGAGGAGCGAAAGCGUGGGGAGCGAACAGG